UUCCAAUGUCUAUUGUCAGGACUCCCCCUCUUCCCUACGGGGGUUUGUCUGUUACAGCGUUGGGAGAUUGAGCUCGCUACUUUCGACUGUCGCCUUCAUCUCGUUGGCAACUGAUGGGUGCCGUUCUGGCCACUAUCAUGAAGUAGCAAGUGCAUCAGAUGAGUUGAAGCCUUCAUGGGCCUCACUUGCUCUGCAACUGAAGACUUCUUAGUGAUGAUGCAUACAUGC
rnacentral:snoRNA from 1 species